UUGUGCGUUAAUUGACUUGUCUUGUUUUCAUUUUUGCUGUCUUGCCCCUUUGUUAGAACUUUAAUAAGUGUCUCAAAAAACAGUUUUUAUCAAAAUUACGGAUCAUUGUGGAAUAAUCUCAGUUCUUUGGCGCAAUCAUCAUGCCUAUUACCGUAAUGGGGUGUUAAAUGAGGAUGGGGAUGGAGUGUACUCUGUGGAGGCGUCUAAAAACGAGUAUCUAGUGAAAUGUUCUGUUGUCAUUGAUGAAGAAUCUUUGAAGACGCUAUAUGGCGAAUUAUGGCCAGAUUUAACGACACUGGUAGCAUUUCUAAGUGAAAACCGACGGGGAGACCUCAAGUUAGUGAAGACGUUGUUGAAGAUUUAAGGAUGAGAAUGGAACAAAGUCCGAAUAAAGCUUUGUCAAAAAUCUUUACUGUCCGGAGUACCAUACAGCCCAUGUCAGAAAAUCGUAAAAGAGAAGUUACAUAUGCAUCCAUACAAGAUUUUGUUGGUUCAGGAGCUGCAACCAGCUGAUUUUCCUUGGCGCGUUGGGUAUUGUAGUUGGUUUCAAGCUGAUAUGGACGAUAACGGGAUUCUCGAUUUGUCGUUCUUUUCUGAUGAAGCCUGGUUUCAUCUGUUAGGCUAUUAUGUCAACUGACAGAACUUCAGAAUUUGGUGUAUAGAAAAUACUCACGCUUUUGAAGAAACACCAUCACACGCAAUGAAGGUUGGUGUGUGGUUAGCAGACGACGAUUCAUAGGCCUGAUACUUUUUCAAGUAAAUGAAUGUGAUCAAUAAACAAAAUUAGAUGUAGAAAGUGUAUGUAGGUACUGCAAUAAAGUUUUUUAUUUUCAGUAA